GAAUCAUCUCACUACACUUUAAACCCCAGACUGCAUCUUGCUGUGGUUAUGGGAACGACUGCAGCCCAGGAAUACUGGAAGUGUUGCCAUUUAGCAGAGGACUAUUGCAAGGUGAAGACGAAUUUGACGUAUUUUGUGAUUUCCUUUAACUGCUAAUAAGAAAGAAAUUAUGUGAACGCAUUCUUGGUAUGUGAUGCUCCCCAGGAUGUGUGUACUAUGGCACCACAGAAAGUGAAUUUAUCAAGAACCGCC